AGUUCACAGAUGGCGCUGCGUGAAGCGUCUCUAACAACGGUUGCCAUGGCUGCUGUCCGGAAUCAUCAGAGGAGGGAGAAAGAUGUUGAUGGUGAAGAUCGGGAGUAGUGUCGUAUCUUUAUUGUUUUAUUCACCGGCAAUUUAUAAGGAAUAAUUGGAUAUACACUAUAAAUCUUCGCAUCAUCUAUAAGGAAAAAUGCGCAUCUGUUCUUUUUAUGAGAAAACAUUAUUCAAUGACAUAGUUUAGCUCCAGUUUCUCUCCCAUGGAUAAAUUUAAAUGGGAGGAAAAAGAAGCUUGAUUGUAUGGAAUAGUCAUUAAAGAUUCAUAGCUUCUGAAACUUAAAAAAACAUCUAUUACAUGGAUAUACAUGUUAUGAAU